GAAAAUUUUCUGGUGAUUCACAAACAUGACAGCGACAUAGUCGAUCAGCUGACGGCGAUGAUCCUAAUUGUGGAGGCAGUGAGCUACUCUGAAAUGUCGGUACUGUUGUACUUCUAUGUGUAGUAAAACAAUCCAAGAACCUACUGGUGCAAGAACAAAAAGAGAACUAGACAUAAGGACACUCGGUAUUUCAAUUACACUUUGAACUUCAUUGAGACAACUACUGCCACAGUUAACUGCUCCAGACUGAGAUUUUGGUACAAAUAACUUCAGGGUUGUUGAUGGUGAUCUUGGUUGUGAUCCACAGCACCGAAGACGAUCAUCUUCACCACCAUGA